rnacentral:sRNA from 1 species
UUCCCCGCCCGCGUCUCCUCGCUGUCGCCGCCGCUGCCACACCAUGGCCUUCGUCACCAGGCAGUUCAUGCGUUCCGUGUCCUCCUCGUCCACCGCCUCGGCCUCGGCCAAGAAGAUAAUCGUCAAGCACGUGACGGUCAUCGGCGGCGGGCUGAUGGGCGCCGGCAUUGCCCAGGUUGCUGCAGCAACUGGUCACACAGUAGUGUUGGUAGACCAGACAGAGGACAUCCUGGCAAAAUCCAAAAAGGGAAUUGAGGAAAGCCUUAGGAAAGUGGCAAAGAAGAAGUUUGCAGAAAACCCUAAGGCUGGCGAUGAAUUUGUGGAGAAGACCCUGAGCAGCAUAACGACCAGCACGGAUGCAGCCUCCGUUGUCCACAGCGCAGACUUGGUGGUGGAAGCCAUCGUGGAGAAUCUGAAGGUGAAAAACGAGCUCUUCAAAAGGCUGGACAAGUUUGCUGCUGAACAUACAAUCUUUGCCAGCAACACUUCCUCCUUGCAGAUUACAAGCAUAGCCAAUGCCACCACCAGACAAGACCGAUUCGCUGGCCUCCAUUUCUUCAACCCAGUGCCCGUCAUGAAACUUGUGGAGGUCAUUAAAACACCAAUGACCAGCCAGAAGACAUUUGAAUCUUUGGUAGACUUUAGCAAAGCCCUAGGAAAGCAUCCUGUUUCUUGCAAGGUAAGAGUAUGGGUAGCUGGGAAGGAGGUAGUUCUUUUCUUCUUGGACCCUGACUUGUUCCUGGUAGAAUUCUUCUCAUAGAAUGAUGUGAAAGAAGGAGCAUUGUAUACUGCAAGCUUGUCCACGUGCUGUAAAGAGCAAUCCGUGCCUCCUGUUCUAGUUUGCAGACAGGGAAACUGGACUCCUAAGCCAUGCCUAAGGCCAUCAGGUGGAUAGUCUGAGACCUGAAUGGAGCUCAGGACACCAGCUGAGUAGAAGACACGGGACUGCUCUCUGUCCUGGCUUUUGUCUCCUGAUGAGUGGCUGCAUUUUCGUAAAUGGUUUUGGUUGCCCAAUCAGCUGUAACUUCCACUGGGCCACUGGGAGUCAGAACCCUGUGUGUCAGGAAGAGCUUGGUAAACACAUACAUCCCUAACAGAAAAUGAGGGCUUUACUUUUGCAAGAAAUACUACAGAUGGUGAAAUAAAUGAUAAGACAGUGAGAGAGCAACCUGCCAAAGUAGCAAUAAGGAACCUGUUUCUCACUGGAAAGUUGCAUUAUGUUUUUAUUGUUUGUUGUUUUGUUUUUCAAGAAGCAGCAUGGUUUAGUGGGAAUCCUGCUUGACCUCCAUCUGUUUUUCCCCUUUCUUAAGCUGCCCAGUUAUUGUAUAUAAAAUAAUCCCAGUUCCUGAAAUGAUAACCUACCUGAAGGUAAUUAUUUUGAUUACCUUCAGUUUCUCCAUUUGCUUUAGUUCCUCUUUAGUUCCUCCAAAACUCGGGGACUAUACUUAUGCAUGACUUUGCAGUUUUUCUUAAGAGGUAGUUGUGUCACAAAAUGCUACACCAUUACAAAGAUUUACAUAUAAGUCAUCUACUUUUUUUUUUAACCGUAAUCCUUUAUAUCAUUAUAGUUCUCAUAGCAAACUUCUGCUUUCUAAAAUAUUCUCGAGUUUGAACUCACAGUACUGUACUAACCCAUGAAAAAUCAUGUUGUUCAUGAAUCAUCUGAAGAAGCCAUCUGUUGAGGUGGACUCCAGCAGCCAAAGAGAGCAGGCUUGUGUGUCCUGCUCCUUCCCGUCCAUUGGUAAAGUGUUGUUAGGUAGUCUCAUGCUUUAACACCCAUUUUUUGUUUGUUUAGUUCUGUAGUUUUAAGUCAUCUAGAUUUCUAAAAUCAAAUUAAUAAUUGGAUGGUAUGAUUGUACUUUCUUACGCAGUUAUGCUUUGUUAGUGGAAGAAAGUAGUAAUAGUAUUGAAAAGAACGUCUGUGCAAGACAAAAAGAUAUGGAAACAGAAGUACAGGGAAAAGCUAAUGAUUAUCUUCAGCAGCAUAAUAAUUAAUCUACAAAGUAAUGAUUCAGUCUUCCAUCAGAGUGGCCACGGCAACUGCAGAGAUGGGAACUCUUUGUUCUCAUUAAAUUGUUCUUGUUAGGUCAUUCCAGAACUCUCUCUGUGUGGUAUUCUAAGGGCUUUCAGAGGGUCUUUCUGGUUCAGUUAUUGAAGCUCUUGAUGAGGCAUCUGGACAAUAUAUGGCAACCACAUAGGACAAGGGUCAGCAAAUUUCUGUAAAGGACCAGAUAGUGAAUAUUUUCAGCCAUACAGUCUCUGUUGCAAGUAGUCAGUUCUAUUGUUGUAGUAUGAAAACAGCCGUAGACAGUAUAGGCAGUAUGAGUGUGGCUGUGCUCCAGUAAAACUUGACUUACAAAAACAAGCUGUGGGCUGGAUUUGGCCUACAGUAUUGUACUUUACCAAUACUUGACAUAGAAGAGGGACAUUAAUGUGCCUUCCUAGUGAGACUUCAUGAGGGGAUUGUGGUAUAAAGGUUAAGGGUAUGAACUAGCCCAACCGGGUUCAAAUCCUGGUGUCGGCACUUAUUACCUGUGUAACCUUAGGCAAGCUACUUAACCUCACUGUGCCUCAGUGUCCUCAUGCCUCACAUAGGGAUAAUUAUAGUACCUCUCUCACAGGGUUAUUAUCAGGAAUGAAUAAAUUAAUAUUUUUAAAGUAUUUAGAACAGUACCUGGCACACAGUAAGUACAGUAAAUAAAAUGUGUUUAAUAAAUAAGAAUCUGAAAAAUAUGAAUUUGAUUACAUAAAAUAAAAUUACUUUAUUUAAAGUUUGUGUCUCCUGCUAGGCACGGUGCCUCACGCCUAUAAUCCCAGCACUUUGGGAGGCCAAGGCUGGUGGAUCACUUGAGCCCAAGAGUUCGAGACCAGCCUGGGCAACAUGGCAAAAACCUUCUCUACAAAAAAAAUAGCUGGGCAUGGUGGUGUGCACCUGUGGUCCCAGCUACUUGGGAGGCUGAGGUGGGAGGGUCGCUUGAGCCCAGGAGGUGGAGGCUGCAGUGAGCUGAGAUCACGCCACUGCACUCCAGCCUGGGCAACAGAGCAAGACCCUGCCAAGAAAAAAAAAAGACUGUGUCUCUUCACGUUCCACCAAUGUACUGAUAGCAUCUGUCUCUCUG